UUUAUUAAUGUCCAAAAAAAUUAUUAUAAAAGGGUAAUAUUGUAAAAGUAAGCUAAAAUAAAUAAAAAGUAACGGUUAGGGUAUUAAUACUUUAACGGCAGGGAUGUUUUGAGGCAUUUUUAAAAAUACAGGGACUAAAUGGUCAUUAAUCUUAAAAUAUAUGGACUAAAUGAGCUUUUACCCUAUUGAAUAUAUUGAAAACAUUACGGGGCUAAAUUGUUGCUCCUGCUUUAUUUUUAAAAACUCUAAUUGAAAAAAUUAUGUCAAUCUAAUAUAAAAUUUUCACUAUAUUAAAAUUACUUACAAAAACCACAUGUAAUAGCAAUUAUCAAUAUGUUCAUAAACUUUUUAUGUGAAUUUUGAGAUUUCAUUUAAUAGUAAAUUAGAAAAUAAAAUUUGAGUAUUUGAGAAGUUUUUCAUAAAAGAAUCAUCAACAUAUGAUUCUUCAAAGAGAGUCAGAGUGCCUACCACAAAAACAACGACACUCAAAUACAUUUUUAUUGGAUGAGUUUAGUUUAUUAUUAAAAUUUUUGACUAAUAAUAUAUUUAUAAUUUUAAAAGAUGAAUAAAUUUUUAGUUGUUUAAUUUAUUUAAGCCUAACAGUUAAGUACUUUUUUUUAAUACUGAUUACACAUCAAAUUAUUGUAUUACAUAAAUAUUUACAACUAUUAUUAUAACAGACAUUAUACUGAUAUUUACAUAUGUAUUAAUUUUUGCCGUGGGACUUGUUGAAUGAGCUUUUAAUUUUUGUUCUUAUCCAAAUUAAAAGUUAAAAAUCUUUGUCAUUUGGGGCUCAACCAGGUCAAUGUGCAUUUUCCGGAAAGUUCAAAAGGUAUAUAUGUGUCCUUGCCCACUUUUCUUUUUUGGAAAAUUACUAAUCGAUUUUUUUUUUCUUUACAAACAAACAGAACUUUCAUUUCAUCAUAAAUUAUGAUUCAUAAUAGACAGUACAAAUUAAUUAAAAACAAGUUUAUCAAUCUUGCGUGUGCCUAUUUGUUCAUAUAAAAGUUAAGAUCAAAGUGAUCUCAAAUAUAUAUAGACAGUGAAGACAGAUUCAAUGAUAAUGAAAGUGGUCACAACUUUAUGCAGCUGGUAGGGCUAACAAUGCUGGCAAUAUUAUUGCUUCUCUCUUUUCAUCUUUUUAUUCUCAUUGGACAUGCUGGUGUGUGAAUUAUUGUCCAUACUGAAUUAUUGAGCCAAUGUUUAUCAUAUGAAGGUUGGAUGCUAAUACAUGUAUAUUUACAAUUUAUUAUAAAAGAGUUCGCAUUUAUAUUUGUGUUGAAUAAGCUAGGCUUGCAAUUUGUAUUUAUUUUGGCAAAUGUGAAUGUCUCUAUCAUAGCCAUGCAUAAAAGCUAAAAUUUUGUCCAGAGACUAUUAAAGGACCGCAAUAAUUAUUGAUGGGAAAGAAUAGACUCUAAUUAAUAAUUAAGCACGACUUUGAAAGAUGUUCGAAUAGGUUGUUGAGGAAAGGGAAAAAAGAGUUUAAUCUAUGAGCUGCCCGUAGUACUCAUAAGUCAUAACCCUUUGCCAUUAGGGUAAAUUGAAAAAAAAAAAGAUGAAAUCGGAGAACUAUAGAGGAGAAGAUGUUAGUUAUCUUCCUCUAAUUUAUUUUAAAAACAAGAGUACAUAUGGUUAAUUCUAAUUAAUGAAGCUUUAUUAGUUUUUUGCAUUUUUUUUUAUCAUUUGUCCUUGACAUAUUUCUUGUGAAUAUAAACUUGUUUGGAAUUUCCUAUAAAGUGCUGAUCAUUUUUUUGUCGAAUAUUAGUAAUUAAACAAAGACGUACAAUAAGUUAAACUAGUUUUAUGGGGCAAAAUCUGAAUUAGAUUUGCUAUGUCUUCUAACUUUAUAAGGGUCGCUGUUAAUUAAAGAAGAUUGCUAAUUUCCUUGUCUCAUUCAAUGGAAGGACAAGUUAGGAUAAAACAUCUCUCCCAACUUUAUUCAUAAAGUAAUCUUUGUUGUCACCAAAUUAUUCAUAAAAAUUAACAAAAGUUAAUAAUGUAAAGAGAAAAAUUUGAAUAUGUAUUUUUAUUAAAUUCGAAACUCUCUAAUUAUAUUAUUAUACAGUUGGUUACUUUUUUUAUUCUAAAUCGCCAAUAUUUUUAUUCCCUAUUUCAUUAUGAAUAUUACCACUUGACUUUUUUAUUUGUGUUUAUAAAAAGGUGGGGUGUGAGGAAAAGAAAAAAAAAUAUUGUUUUUCUUAAGAAUUAGAAUAAAUAAUUAGGCAACAAGUCAAGGAAUUGAGGUUGUUCAUUUUACAUUCUAAUUGGAUUUAGAGUUAUUUUCAUUAAUUUUUUUCUUUUACAUUAUCGAUUCUUAUGAUAAAACAAUAACCAAAAAAAUAUAUAAUUAUAGUUUUCUUAAUUAUAUUCAAGUUACUAAUCUGUUAGAAUUUUUUUAUCUCUUUUUUUCCAACUAGCUCCAACAAUCUCAAUAUCACCCACACCACAUAAAUUUCUGACAAUACCUGUAAUAUUAUGAAAAACUAACAUAAACAUAUUAAAACAUAAGGAUCAAUAAUUUUUAAUAUACACUUGAAGAUUAAGAAACAUUAAUAAUUAAAAUAAAUACCUGAGAGGAUUGUGUUAUCAUUUACACGUAAAUCAAUCAAAUUCGGAGAUACGAAUUGGAAUCUAUUGAUUGGGGUCUUAACAGCUCCUUCUUCUAACAUUUUCAGCAAAGUUAGAACCAAGAAAAUAAUCUUUUACUGAUUUGAAAGUGGUAUGUACUCGCCUGUAGUUGAAACAUGUAACGCCCACUUUUAUUUAUUUAUUUUUUUCCUCUUUUACCCUUAUUAAAUUGAGUAGGAUAGUUAUUAUUGAGUAUUUGUGUGUGAGUAAAAUUUAUCAAAUUGCUUUAAAUAAGUUAUGUAAGUUAUUAGUUUUUAUAAUAUAUAUAUAUAUUAAUUACCAAGUAUUUAAGAGGAAGCCAUCUUUUUAAAAAGCUGUUUUUUAUUUUCUACACCGUUACAAACCCUAGAAAAAAAAAAGAAAUAUAAGUAUUUGGAGAAGGAAAAUAAAGUUUUAUAACUUCUUUUCUUAGUGUUUGCCUUAAGGUAUUAAAUAUUACUUUGACUUAUAUGAUUUAUUUUUAUGAAUUGUUUGCCUUUAAUUGCUUGUAGUAUGAUUUGGAUAAAAUAUGUGUGUUUGUAAUGUUGCGAUGAUAUGAACAGUCUCUAUUCCUUACUUGAAAUCAUUUUCUUUUAUUUAGAAUCAUGUGAAUAUGCUUACAUAUCAUGAAACUAGACAUCCUAUGUUUUCCAUUGAUAGGUUUUGUGUUAAAAUCCUCUGAGUAUGCAAAUUGUUAGGGUUUUUCGAAAUUGGGUUAUUGGUGCUGGAAAAUUCUGAUUUUCAGCAGCAGUUCUCACUUCUGGAAAUUUUUCUGUAAGGUUACACAUCCUUAAAAAUUCUGGUGAUUUUUAUAUCAAUAGAUCUAUGUCUCCUAAAACAUUUAAAAACUUUUCUUUGGACAGAUGUUCUCGGAAAUAAAACACUUUUAAAAUAGUUUCAAACGUUUAAAAAUUAUGAAUUUUAAUUAUAUGCUUUCUGAAUGUGUCUUAUGUAAAUAGAAAAAAGAAACAUAUUAUUUUGGAUACUAAAGAAUAUUUUAUGAAUUUCCUAAGUGGUAAAGGUCGGUUUUGGUCAAUGCUGGACAGUUUUGUUACUUUGGUGAAAGUCAAUAUUCUGACUCGAUUUUGACUUGUGCUAAUUUUGUGAAAUAUUGUAUACAAUGCUAUGCAUUUUCACAAUGCCUUUGUAAAUUUUCAUAGUUUUCCGACCUGUGUAUAGGUUAUUAAAAAUUAGCAUGUGCAAGAUACUCAUACUUAUGUUUAGAAUAUGUAUAAGUAUUGAGCUAGUAUAAGUGUCUAUGAAUUAAGGAUGAUUGGGAUUGUGUUUAAGAUUAGAGAUGAUAUUGAUAAGGAUAUUUUUAUGAUGAUUAUAGGACGUGGGUGAGCUCGUUGGUUUGUUCUUAAGGUAUUGAGUUGAUUGCUGCUGAUCGAGGUAAGUAGAUUCAUGCAUGAUGUGCUUUAUAAUAAAUACAAUUUAUGUUAUAAGAAUUAAGUUUAAAUGGAAAUUCUUACAAAACUUAUUUCUAAAAUAUUUAAAUAAAUUUUGUAAAAUAAAAACACUUUUAAAAGAAUUUAUAAAAAAUAAAUUUUUCUUAAGAAAUAUUUUUCUUAAACAAAAUGUUUUCUAAAGAAUUUUCUAAAAGAAUUAAAUAUUCAAAGAAAAGUUUUUAAAUGUUUUAGAAAACUUUAAAUGCUAUUUAUGAAAGAAUGUAAGGUGGAUUCAAAAAUAUUUUGACUCAUAGUCCGUAGUAAUGUAUAUGAUGUUAAUGUUAUGAUGUUAUGUAAUGCUAUGGCCAACUUGCUGGUAUGAUGAUGAUCUUGUGCACAAGGAUGUUAUGAACAAUGUGGGGUAUAGUACCCUGAAUAAGGAGCAAUGCGGGGUAUAAUACUCUAAAUUAUGAAUGAUGAAUGAUGAUGACUACGAGGCAUGAGCUAAUAAUGUUUAUGUUUUAAUGUUUUUAUGAAUGUUUUAAUGUUUUUAAUGCUUUUACAUGAAUCCACCCCUUGUGUUAAAUGAAGAUGUUGUUAUAAAAUUUUUAAGGGAAAAUGACAAAGGUUUUCAAAUAUUGUGCAUGGAUUUGUUUACCGAGUUGAAGGCUCACCCCUUAUUUCCAAUAUUUUACAGAUUAAUUAGAGAUGUGGCUUGGGUUCUUAGAUGGAAAAUUUUUUUUAGUGGAUUUUUGGAGUUGCUUUAAAGAUUAAAUUUGGUUAGACUUUUUAUUUUGGAUUAGAGACUUUUCUUUGGAGACUUUAUUUAAGAUGUUUUAUGUAAAGAUUCAGUUGGAGUAUAAAUAAUUAUUGUCUAUCUUAAAAUUUAUUAAGAAGAAUAAAUGGUGUGAGGUUUUAUUCUAAUUUCGCCCUUGUGUUUUCAUGGGUAAUUUUUGGAGUGUUAAAAAACAACUUUUAAAUUGUUGACACUGUACAAAAAACCCUCACUCAACAUGUGCCUAAACUUUGUCACUAAAUUUUUCCUGAUUGUUGCAUGCAUUAGAUUUUCCUAUGAAAAAACAAAAAACAUGCUAUAUUAAGUGUAAAACUAUUGGGAAAAAAAAAGAUAAUUAGAGAAAACAAUAAGAGAAAGAAUUUUUUAUGCAACAUUUUCAUCAACAAAAAUCAUGUCCACACUAAUCAAUUCUCCAUUUUUCUUGGUAUUAAAUGACUCCCAUAUUUUAUAAAGUCUAACCCUUAUCAUCCAACUAUCUCCAUCAUUGUUCAACUCAUGAAGAAAAUAGUAUUCUAUGAAGAACACAAUACUAAAAAUUCAAAUAAGUCAAAUAAUAAAAACCCAAGAAUCUUUCUAAA
rnacentral:lncRNA from 1 species